ensembl:lncRNA
GGUGAAAAAUCCCAAAUUUAGGAGCGAACGAGCCCAGAUUUCAGGAAAAUCCCACAUUUCUAAGAGCAGAAAAUUCCGAUUUUGGGGCAAAAACCCAAAUUCUGGGGCAGAAAAUUCCGAUUUUGGGGCAGAAAAUUCCGAUUUUGGGGCAGAAAAUUCAAAUUUUGGUGCAGAAAAUUCAGAUUUUGGGGCAAAAAACCCCAAUUUCGGUGCAGAAAAUUCAAAUUUUUGUGCAGAAAAUUCAGAUUUUGGUGCAGAAAAUUCAAAUUUCGGUGCAGAAAAUUCAGAUUUUGGGGCAAAAAACCCCAAUUUUGGUGCAGAAACCCCGGGGUUCAGUGCAGAAAAUUCAGAAUUCGGUGCAGAAAAUUCAAAUUUUGGUGCAGAAAAUUCAGAUUUUGGGGCAAAACCCCCCGAUUUCGGUGCAGAAACCCCAGAUUUUGAUGCAGAAAAUUCAAAUUUUGGGGCAAAAAAACCCCAAUUUCGGUGCAGAAAAUUCAGAUUUUUGUGCAGAAAAUUCAGAUUUUUGUGCAGAAACCCCCGGAUUUCGGUGCAGAGACCCGGUGUUUUGGGGGUGACGGAGCUGUCGGGGUUGUUCUGGGGGCUCACCCCGGCCCCUCGAGGGUGAGGAUGGUGAGGAUGGGCCGGCGGUUCAUGCCCCCCAUGCAGGAGCUGUUGCACAUGAAGUUGUAGAGAACCGUGGUGCACUCGGAGCCCACCUGGAGAGGGGAGGGAGAUCUUAGAGGGGAGGGGAACCCCAAAAUACACCCCAAAAACACCCCAAAAACAGCCCAAAAACAGCCCAAAAACACCCCAAAAACAGCCCAAAAACAGCCUGAAAUACAGCCUGAAAUACACCUGAAAUACAACCCCAAAAACACCCCAAAAACACCCCAAAAACAGGCCAAAACAGCCUGAAAUACACCCCAAAAUACAGCCUGAAAUACAGCCCCAAUACAGCCCCAAAACAGCCCAAAACCAGCCCAAAAACAGCCUGAAAUACACCCGAAAUACAGCCCCAAAACAGCCCAAAAACAGCCUGAAAUACAGUCCCAAAACAGCCCAAAUACAGCCCCAAAACAGCCCAGAAACACCCCAAAAACAGCCCCAAAACAGCCUGAAAUACAGCCUGAAAUACAGCCCCAAAACAACCUGAAAUACACCCAAAAUACAGCCCCAAAACACCCCAAAAACACCCCAAAAUACAGCCCCAAAACAGCCCAAAAUCAGCCCCAAAACAGCCCAAAAUCAGCCCCAAAACAGCCUGAAAUACACCCGAAAUACAGCCCGAAAAACACCCCAAAAACAGCCCAAAAACAGCGAAACCUAAAUACCCUAAACACAGCCCCAAAACACCCCAAAAUACAGCCUGAAAUACACCGCAAAAAGAGCCCAAACACAGCCUGAAAAACACCCCAAAAACAGCCCCAAAGCACCCCAAAAACAGCCUGAAAAACUCCCCAAAUACAGCCCAAAAACACCCCAAAACACCCCAAAAAAACCCCCAAAAUACAGCCCCAAAACACCCCAAAAUACACCCUAAAUACAGCCCAAAACCACCCAAAAAACACCCCAAAAUAUAGCCCAAAAUACACCCGAAGUACAGCCCAAAAUACACACCAAAAACA